rnacentral:lncRNA from 1 species
UCGCUGACUAGUCUUCGACUUCUGCCCCAUCAGUGCUCCACAGCCUGAGCAGAUGAAGACCUGCCGGCUGAUGCUCGAUAACUCUCAUCCAGGACUGUCGAUAUUUUCUUGAUCGCUGAUCCCUGCAGGGUAGAUGUUGGAUUGUAGGUCUUUUACAUACAGAUUUCAAAAUAAUUUUGAAAAAUAAGCAGUGGAAGACUAGAUUAAAUCAAAUUUAAUCCUACGCAUGCAU